rnacentral:lncRNA from 1 species
GAGAGGUUGUCCUUUUCUGGCAUCAGCGUUGCGGCUCGAGGCAAAGCUGGUCCUGUGCCUGCUGUCCAUUGCCGCUAAGGCCUGCUGCUGCCAUUCAGGCGUGUCUCUCUCUCUCUCUCUCUUUCAUGCCGCUCUCUCCACCCCAUCUUGGGACGGCCAGCUCUAAGAAUUCCUGCUACGACACUGAAUUCAACCAGGAGGUGAUGCCACACUCAAUCAGAAACUAUGCUACUGCUGAAGAGGUAUAUUGAGCCCUGCCUGGUUAACCUCCAGUGAGGUUAUUAGAGAAUUGGGAGAGGCUCAAAUCAGCAUCCUGCACCUAGUUAUCAAACCAUUGUGAAGUCUUGAUUCCUGGAUGGCCAGAAAACUUGUCAUUGGUCAAGAGCAACAUUAAGAUCUGCCUGUUACUCAUACUGAUGCUUCCUGCCCAGCAAGUUCAUCAGAGGGCGAGGAUGAAUUACGGUUGCCAUGAAUGUCCUUGUGAGGCAGUUGGGAAGCCUUGGCUGGAUUGUGAAGGAUAUUUGAAAAGUAUUUUAGAGUCCACCAGAUCAUCCAUGUGAGUGACCAUGCAGCAAAAGAAGGAGGGUCCUCUCAGUGAUUAAGGUAACAUAGUGAUUAAGGUAAGUAGGGAAAGAGAGGCUUACUUUGCCCUGAUUCUUGUCAGGGAGGCUCUUAGAGAUGCCAUUUCCAGAGCAUAAGUGACAGGCCAGCAUUUUCAAAGCUUGCAACUUAUUCUAUAAUAUAUCCUUCUUAAAACAAUUCAUGUAGAUUAUAUGCUCACCCAGUCUGGGAUCACUCCUGCAGAAGAUCAGAAGAACUGAAAUAUAGGUGACAUAAGCUCCUGCUUUUGUAAAUGUUUUGUUGAAACACAGUUGUGUUCAUCCAUUAUUGUCGAUGGCAGCUUUCAUGCUACAGCAGAGUUGAGUAGUUGGGAGAGAAACCAAAUGGACCAUAGAGUUUGAAAUAUUACUGUCUGGCCCUUCACAGAAAGUUUGCCAAUUCCUGGCAUAGGUUAAAUAAAUGUACUAUAUCCACAAAUCCUCCUCUCCCCAUUUUCCUUUCAAUGGGACUUGCAUUUACAGUUGAUCCUAGAAUGUAUGGAAUCUCAUAGUAAUCAGCUUGCUUCUGAAUUUCUUCCCACUCAAAUUAAGCUCACUCAGAAAGCACAUUCACAAAUUGGGCUACAUAUACAGAAGGAGCUAUGUUUUAUAUGCCUCACUGUAGUCAACUCAUUUAUCCUAUAUGUAUGGUUCCCCCAUUUUUUCCUUCUUUUCAGGGGUAACUUUUAAACUUGAGCCAUUCAUGAGUAUCCAAAAAGUUACAACUUAUGUUCUCUAAUUAAGACUUCAUCCUUAUUUUAGUAUACUUCCCCUCUCUGGCUUUUUUGCAUAUUUCUGCAGAUGUCUUGACCUUUCUGGGGAGUAAGCCCCCUUAGAAGAUUAAUUUUCUGUAGUUCUCUAUUGAGGAAAUACAUGACAUUUAGCUUUUUAAUAAUUUGAUGCCAUUCAUUGAGUACCUACUGUGUGCUUUAUGUACCCUGUCUCGUUGAAUUUUUACAAAAAACUGAAAGAGUUAGUUUUGUGUUAUUACUACCUCCAUCUCAAAGAUGAGUCUUGGAAAGCUUAAGUAACUUUAGGUCACAUUGUAAUCAGUGGCAGAACUGGGACUUAAGAACAUAAUUCAUGACUGCAUUUUCUUUUCUUUCUUUCUCUUUCUUUCUCUCUCUCUCUUUUUUUUUUUUUUUUAAAGAGAUAGCAUCUCACUCACUAUGUUGCCCAGACUGGUCUUGAACUCUUGGGCUCAAGCAAUUCUUCCACCUCCGCCUCCCAAAGUGUUAGGAUUAUAGGCAUGAGCCCUCAUGCCUGCCCCUUGCAUUUUCUAUUUAAGUGAUCUUGAAGUUUUUUUUUUUCUUUUUUAAAUCUCGGAAUUUGGCCUUUAGUAAGCAUAGAAUAGCAAAGUGUAAUACCUGAGCUGGGGGAAAAAGUCCUUGAAUUCUUUAGGAAAGACUUAAUUGGUGGGUACAAAGUGAAAUGCUCACUGGAAUCAGGAAUCAGAAACCAGUUCUGAUCACCUAUCCCUACAUAUCCUUCUUCACUCUGCCCUGGCAUAUCAUGGUUGAUGUACAUAGCAAUGAUCAUCCCUUCUGUAAUCCCACUUGACAGUUUAGAAGUGGAUUGAUAAUACUCUUCUGGCUUAAAACCCUUCUUCUCUGGGCAGGUGUGGUGGCUCCUACAUUAUCCCAGCACCUUGGGAGGCCGAGAUGGGAGGAUUGUGUGAGCCCAGGAGUUUGAGACCAGCCUGGGUAACAUAGCAAGACCCUGUCUCCACAAAAAAAUAAAAAAUUAACUGGGCACGGUGGUGCUCACGCCUGUAAUCCCAGCACCUGGGGAGGCCGAGGCGGGUGGAUCACGAGGUCAAGAGAUCGAGACCAUCCUGGCCAACAUGGUGAAACCCCGUCUGUACUAAAAAUACAAAAAUUAGCCAGGCGUGAUAGCAGGCGCCUGUAGUUCCAGCUAUGGGAGGCUGAGGCAGGAGAAUCAGAUGAACCUGGGAGACGGAGGUUGCAGUGAGCUGAGAUCACGCCACUGCACUCCAGCCUGGUGACAGAGUGACACUCCGUCUCAAAAAAAAAAAGAAACGAUCACAUCCAGAUGUCCUGUUACUGGAAGGGCACCAUAGUUUAUCCUGCACCUAACACUAAUACACCUACUCUGGGAAUUCUUCUACCUACAACUAUUUAUUUAUCUGAUCCCAUCUGGUAUUAAAGUUCUAAAAGUUAACAGAAUUCUUAAAGGUUCCCAAUGCCUCCCAGAAACCCCAUCAUCUCAAAAUCACUAGCUAUUAAAAGAAGCAAAAAAAAAAAAAAAAAAAGGUGGCUCCUGACCUAGUCUCUUUGAGUAUGAAGACCUAUUUACUAUGUAAAGCUGUCACCUGCCUUGAAAAGAUUAAGACAGCAAGAAAGUUCUUAGAAAGUGGGUAUGUGGCUGGCCUCAGAUAAGGAUAAAUUGCUGAGAAGAAGGAGUUGGGUUUUUUUUGUGUUUUUUUGUUUCUUGUUUUUGAGACAGGGUCUUGCUCUAUCUCCCAGGCUGGAGUGCAAUGGUGCGAUCACAGCUCACUGCAGCCUCAACCUCCCAGACUCAAAUAAUCCUCCCUCCUCAGCCUCCCAAGUAGCUAGGACUACAGGAUGCACCACCGUGCCCAUUGUUUCUAUAUCAGGGUCUUAUAAUAUGGCAGACACAAUGGCCUCCCACAGAGAAAUGAGCCAUAAAAGGACCCUGUAAAAGCAAGGAUGGCUCAUUGUUUUAAGACAGCCAAAUGUAUGGCACUUGGAGAAUUUCAAAGAGUAGAAGGCCUUCUUGAUUGCACUCCCCUUUAACAGCCUUGCCUCUUAUGGGGCUAUGUGGAUCGUUGAAAUGGUUCACAAGUAAAGUGAAAAAUGGUUAUGCGUAGUGUGUCAGCCCCACCCUAAGCUCCCAGAGCCUCCAUUCUGAGUACAAAGGUCAGUUUUCUUCUCGGGACAGGCCAAGGAUGAUGGGGUUUUAAUUUCUCUCCUGAUCCAUGGCAAAGCAUUCCUAAACUAGGCACUGGAAGUCUUGGUAACUGGAAAGAGACAUUCACCAAGAUGAGGAAGGCCAAAACCAAGUGCCUUAUAUAGUCCCUAGAAAGCAUUUCAUUUUAUGGAACAAUCUUUGGUCUCUCUUUUUUUUUUUUUUUUUGUGAGACAGUGACUCAGGCUGGAGUACAGUGAUUAGGUCACUGCUCAUUGCAGCCUCAACUUCCCGUGCUCAGGUGAUCCUCUCACCUCAACUUCCCGAGUAGUUGGGACUGCAAGCAAGCGCCACCAUGCCCAGCUAAUUUUUUGUAUUUUUUUGUAGAGACGGGGUUUUCCCAUGUUGCCCAGGCUGGUCUCAAACUUCUGGACUCAAGCAAUCCACCUGCCUUCGCCUCCCAAAGUGCUGGGAUUACAGGUGUAAGCUACCAUGCCCAGCUCUGGUCUCCUUUCUUAAUCCUGUUGAAUAAGGAAGAUUUUUUUUAUCUGAACCCUCCUCUUACUCUUCUUUCUGUUCUCCUUCCAUGAUCACUUUGUCCAUCUUCCUCUUUGUCAUAGGCAUGUCCUAUUUCUAAUUCCCUUUCUCUUUUCUUUGGUAGGCUAGCCUUCGAGACUGCAUUACCCUCCCCAACUUAAAAUCUUUUGAUAACCCAGGCAGCUGGGUUAUCCCCAAUUUAAAGUCUUUUUGUUGUAGCUGUAUGGCAUUUAUCUAGAGCAUGGGGUACACACAGUAGGUUUCUCUCCUCUCUUUUUUAACAUAUUUAUUAUGUUUAUGCAUGUAAAGAGUUUGUUGUUGGCCAGGCCUGAUGGCUCACGCCUCUAAUCCCAGCACUUUGGGAGGCUGAGGCGGGAGGUCAGGAGUUCGAGAGCAGCCUGGCCAACGUGAUGAAACCCUGUCUCUACUAAAAAUACAAAAAUUAGUGGAACAGGGUGGCUCAUGCCUGUAAUUGCAGCUACUCAGGAGGCUGAAGUAGGAGAAUCACUUGAGCCUGGGAGCUGAGAUCGUGCCAUUACACUCCAGUCUGGGUGACAGAGGGAAACUCUGUUUCAAAAUCAACAACAACAAAAAAAAGUUUAAAAAUUGGAAACCACCAAAAGGUAGUAUUAAAAGGGAAAUAAAAAUUACUCAUAAUCCCAGAACGCAGUCAUAUGCUAUUUUUAGUCUUAUUUUAUUCAGCCAUUUUUCUCUUUACACAAACUUUUUUUUUUUUUUUUGAGAUGGAGUCUCACUCUGUUGCCUGAGCUGGAGUGCAGUGGUGCGAUCUCGGCUCACUGCAACCUCCGCCUCUUGGGUUCAAGCGAUUCUCCUGCCUCAGCCUCCUGAGUAGCUGGGACUACAGGCGACCGCCAUUACACUCAGCUAAUUUUUUGUAUUUUUAGUAGAGACGGGGUUUCACCAUGUUCACUGGGCUGGUCUCGAACUCCUGACCUCAUGAUUCGCCCACCUCGGCCUCCCAAAGUGGUGGGAUUACAAGCAUGAGCCACUGUGCCCUCCCUACAGGUUUUAAAAUUUAUUAUUAUCUAAAUAUUCAUUUUAAAUGUUAAUUUUAGUGUACUUCUUUGAUUAUUUUCUUUAGAGAAAUUUCUGAUUUCAGAACCAAGUUUAUUAGCAUUCACUGUAUACAUUAGCACCAUUAAAACUAGCUAGACCCAAGAAGCAGUAUUGAAUGGGUACCCCUUCUUUACUUUCCUCUGAUUCACUCUACUCUGGUGCUCACAGCUAAGUAAGUAUGUACAGCAAUGGCCUGUCAUUUGGUCGAUUAUCUUUUGUGCUCUGAAAUGUCUUUGUUUUUUCAUCUGCUCUCAAUACCUCUGUGCUCUGAUCCUUUGUAUAUAAGGGUAACCAUAUUUGUUCUUUCCUGUGAAAUAAUAAUUCUUUUCCUUCCAUUCAGAGUAGCUGCCUGACUCAUACAAUGAAUAAAGUCACAUAGACUCAAAGAGUGGAGAUGGAGGUCGGAUGUGGUGGCUCGUGCCUGUAAUCCCAACACUUUGAGAGGCUGAGGUGGGAGGAUCGCUUGAGCUUGAGCACAGGAGUUUGAGAUCAGUCUGGGCAACGUAGUGAGAUCUCAUCUCUGCCAAAAAAUAAAAAUUAGCUGGGUGUGGUGGUGCAUGGCUGUAGUCUCAUGUAGUCCCAGCUACUUGGGAGGCUGAGGUGGGGGGUCACACAUACUUUUUGUUGUUACUGCUUCAUCAUUGGUUCUGAUCACUCAGUGUUCUUUCCCUUACACCAGAUCAUAAUACAGUAUUCUGACUAGGCAACUUAGCUCAGUUUAUUACGAAUAGCCUUAAUUAAUUUGGUAAAUUACUAUGAAUGAACAUUUCAUUCAUUCUGCUAGGUCUAGGUUUUGCCAGCUGUUCCAUUAAGGGACACUAUGGCACGGGUUGGCAAACUUUUUCUGUAAAGGGCUAGGUAGUCUCUCUAUUCAACUCUGCUGUUGUAGCAUGAAAACAUCCAUAGACAAUAUGGAUACAAAUGAGCAUGAUUAUGUUCUGAUAAAACCUGAUUUACAAAAACAGGUAGUAGGUUGGAUUUGGCCCAGGGGCCAUAGCAUGCUGACCCCUGCUCUACAGUAUACAUACACAAAGACUUUCAAACAAAGAUGUAUACAAUAAAACAACCAUUCAGAGUUAUUUGAUUCACAGUGUGUAUAAUAUAAUAAAAAUAAUACAGCUGUAUUUGAGUCAGCACUGAAAAGUCUCUUGUGAUCUGUGUCUUACGUGCAUGAAUUGCAGAAUAUUCAUACGAAUACCAUGAAUAUUCUUCACGGGCCAUGUUAUUACCAUCCCUUAGAGGAAUCUCUUCCUUGUCGUGGGUCUUUCUUUGUAUGGCUUAGAAGUGAUGUUGUCUUUAUAUUGUGUUAUUUGUUCUUAACUUUACAUUAUCAGCUCUGGUGUGCUUACCUUUUUCACCAACGUGUCUUCUACCCUACUUACCUCAUAAGUGAAUCUAAUACAGAGGUUAUUUUGGAUAUAAUCAUUAUCUUAACAGGCAAGAUAGUGGGCUGUGCUAUUUCAAACCCUAAAUUUGGCUUUCAGGAUUAUGAAGUAUUAAUUCUUCCACUGAUAUCUCAAAAGGUGAUCUGGACAAAGGAACAGGUAUCUCAGAUUCCCAGUUCUCAAUCUUCCUUCCUCCUUACAAGAUACAAGCAACCUUCAACCUUCCCAGAGAUGGUCUCUGUAUAUGAAAGACAAUGGUCUUAUUAUGAAGUCGGCAUAUUUAUAGCUUGAUAAAAACUGAAAAAUCUGUAGCCUAUUUUUAAUAGUGAUAUAUAAGGAAAUAACAUAAAUAAAAAUUUGGCAACAAGAAUCCAGGAGCAAAUUUAUGAUCAAUACACAAUUGGGCAAGUGGUGUUCAUACCAACCAUGCAAAAAUGGUUCAAUUUUAGGAAAUCUUUGAAUAUAGCUUUUAGUAGGUCAGAGGAAAUCAGUAUCUCAAAGUACUUUCAUGAUUUAGUUAUUUUUAAGUUAUUGAUCAUUUUGGAUUUUAUUUUGAGGUUGAUAGCCAUAUAAUGAUUUCACAUUUUAUUUUAAAUGGCUAGCUGUUGUCCCAAUACUAUUUACUGAAAAAUCUACAUUUUGCUCACUCUUUUUUUUUUUUUUUAAGAGACAGGGUUUUACCAUGUUGCCCAGGCUAGAUUUGAACUCCUGGGCUCAAGUGAUCCUCUCGACCCAGCCUCCUGAGUAUCUGUGACUGCAGGCAAGUACCCCUGUGCCUGCUCACUUAUUUAAAGUUCUACACAUCAAAUACUAAAUUCUCAUCUAUUUGACUUCUGGACUCACUGGUUGGUGUCAUUGACUGUCUUUUCCUGUGAUAGCAUAGAAUUAUUUUGAUUGUGGAAGUACUAUAAAUGUUGCUAUUUAUUGUGCCUCUUGCUGCCUAUCUAUAUUUAGACUCAUUUAUGUGAUGCCAUUCUGUAUACUCUAAAUUUUUUGGUUCUAUUUUAAUAAUGUUUGAGUCAAUGACUUUUCAUGACUCUUGACUUCCCUACUUCAACAGUUUACUAGUCUCCAUCUUGAAUGUUUUUAUUAAUCUAUUUUGUGUUAAUUCUACCCAGGUUUUUUGUUUUUCCUUGCUACUAUUAUAUAUAUUUCUGCCAGAUGUCACAUGGUAUAAAUGCCUAUAUGGACUUUUGUAACAGAAAAUUUACUUACUAGAAUUAAUGUAGGGGGCUUUUUAAUAAGAGUGCAUGUAACAUAGUAACAGUAGCAGAGCUAUAUCAGAAACAGUUCUGAUAAUAUUUCAUGAUCUAUAGUUUGUUGCAUGCCCAUUGCUUCAUACUGCUUGUGUUCUUGGUUGAGUCAUAAGUAAUUUUUAUGGGGUGUGUCAUGACUGUCAUAUUCAUAGAGAGUUGUCUGCCUUGCCCCAUGGUCUUUGCAUGGCUUAAACAGGACCCCUUUUCAUACACAAGUCAUUCAAUUUUAUGUUUUUAAUAGCAUCAAUUUUAGUGUUUAACAUGUGUCUCUGGACUAUGCAUCAGAAUACUUGACUGUUAGUGUGAAAUGAAAAUUCAUGGAUAUCAUAAUUUAUGUAACAUAAUUUAACAUUUCUUUAUUAAUAAGACUUUAGAUUGUCCCUUUCACAAAAAAAUGGUGCGGUUAAAACUUAAUCCUUGUGUCUUUUUGUGAGUAGUUCUAUGAUUUCUAUAUGAUGGCAUCCUUGAAAAAGUUGGUAAAAAUAAGAAUAGUUCUUAUUUAUUAAAGUUCUUCUCAAAUUGCUCUUCCAAAACAUUUUAGUUUAUACUGCAAUGUUAACCAUUUUACACUUGCUUAAGUAAUUUUCUUCAAAUACACACGAGUCCAGGCUAUUUAACCUUAUUUUACCGCUAUAGCACAAAACAGGUUUUCCAAAAUUGUCCUUGCACACCUGGGAUUUUACAAGGAUAUUAUAAUCUUGGUUCAGUUUGACUUACUGAAUUUGUAGUAAGUAUAUUUUAGCACAUAGAAAAUUCAAAAUAUGUGUUAAUCUGUUUAUAGGGUAAAUUUUUAUGAGGGUGGAUGUCAUCCUGUUUUUUUUUUUUUUAAUAAAUGUUUUGUUUCAGAAUGUUUUUUAUUUACAGAAAAGUUACAAACAUAGUACAGAGAGUUCCCAAAUGCUCCACACCGAGUUUUCCCUAUUGUUUUUUUUUUUUUUUUUGAGAUGGAGUCUCGCUCUGUUGCCCAGGCUGGAGUGCAGUGGUGCAAUUUCGGCUCACUGCAAGCUCCGCCUCCCGGGUGCACCCCAUUCUCCUGCCUCAGCCUCCGGAGUAGCUGGGACUACAGGUGCCCGCCACCGUGCCCGGCUAAUUUUUUGUAUUUUUAUUAGAGACGAGGUUUCACUGUGUUAGCCAGGAUGGUCUCGAUCUCCUGACCUCGUGAUCCGCCCGCCUCGGCCUCCCAAAGUGCUGGGAUUACAGGCCUGAGCCACCGAGCCCGACCAGUUUUCCCUAUUGUUAAUAUCUUGAAUUAGUAUAGUACAUUUGUCUCCUUCUCCUUUUUGCCCUUGGUAACCUCUAAUCUACUUUCAGUCUCUGAAUUUGCCUAUUCCAAAUAUUUUGUAUAAGUGGAAUCAUACAAUAUUUGUCCUUUUGCUUCUGGCGUAUUUCACUUAGCACAAUGCCUUCAAGGUUCAUCCAUGUUAUAGCAUAUGUCAGAACUUUAUUCUUUUUUAUAGCUGAAUAAUAUUUCAUUGUGUGUAUAUGCCACAUUUUGUUUAUCAUUCAUUUUGUUUAUGUACCAUGUUUUGUUUAUAUACAUCUAUUAGUAUGUAUUUGUUUAGAUAUACAAUUUGCUUGUAUACCACAUUUUGUUUUUCUGCUAUCUAAUGGAUUAUGCUGCUCUGGAACAUUCAUGUGAUGCUUUUGUUAAUUGCUUAUACAUUUUAUUAAGCUAAUGAGCUUGGUCAUAGUAACAUAUAAAAUCAAGAAUCGUUUAACUUUUGCAAUAAAAAUCUUGAUGUUGACUCUGAAGUAGUAAGAUGCAACUUCAAUGUACUGGGAUUGAGGCAGCCAUAGCAAUAUUACCACAGGUUUUCCAAAAAUUAACACAAAUAUUUUCUAUUCUAGAUGUGAUAUCUUUGGCAUCACUGUUCAUUCUUUUCCUCCUUGAUUAAAGUGAAACAAUUACAUUAAAAUAGUUUUAUGAUUUAAAAAUCAUUCUUUUUUUAAGCUAUUAUUUUUAAUGUAGGUCAGUGUGUUAUGUAAAUUGAUGUCCACUACCUGAACAUGUGAUGCUUUCUCUUUUAUUCCUUGGUAUUUCCUCCAUAUUCUCUGAGGGCCUUCAGUCAAUUUUUUUAAAGGAAAUAAUAAGUUCAAAUAUGUAUCUAUGACUUAGGGUUACAAAGAAUAUUUUCUUUGCCUCCAGUAUACUUUGUAUUAAAAAAAUUAUAAAAGGCCAUAGGUAUUCAUUUUCAAAUAUUUGAAAAAAAAAGGCAUGGCACAAUUAAAGCAUAUGCAGAACCAACUUGGAUUAUUGCUAUAUUUCUUUCUUUCUAGUGUGUACGGAUAUUGAUGACAUUUUUAGGUGGCUCUUAACAAGAACAUUUUCCUCUCUUUAGAUGUGAAUGCAUAGAAUUCUUUCAUUUGGACCAGGAUCGUUUUAAAACAUUUCCUUUAUUUUUUGAUUAAAUUUUUUUCCUUUUAAAUAUUAGGACUUAGUUUUUUAUUAAAUUUGAACAUAAUAUAUUUAACAUACUUACGGAUACAUUUUUGUGGGCAUAUUUCUCUGACAAUUUCUCUUAUUACAAACCAAACUUGUUAGUGACCUGAUUUUGUGUGUGUGUGUGUGUGUGUGUGUGUGUGUGUGUGCGCGCAUGCGCGCGUGUUUUGCAUUUCUAUUCUUUGUUUUCUAGUUUCAUCCCUAUGCUAGGACAUGGCUGUGUUCGUUUCUCUUUCACUAGAUUUUUUUAAUGACUGUAAGGUUAUUCUACGCUUGUAAUCUGCUUUUGCAGUACUUUUCCAUCAAAAACAACUGUGUUACUUCUCAUUUAAAUAUUUAUUUAUUUAUUUUUGAGACAGGGUUUCGCUCUGUCACCCAGGCUGGAGUGCAGUGUCGUGAUCUUGGCUCACUGCGGCCUCUGUCUCCUGGGUUCAAGCAAUUCUCCUGCCCCAGCUUCCCGAGUAGCUGGGACUACAGGUGGACACCACCACUCCUGGCUAAUUUUUGUAUUUUUAGUAGGGACGGGGUUUCACCAUGUUGACCAGGCUGGUCUCCAACUCCUGACCUCAAGUGAUCUGCCUGCCUCAGCCUCCCAAAGUGCUGGGGGAUUAUAGGAAUAAGCCACUAUGCCCGGCCUCAUUUAAAUAUCUCUUAAUCAUCUUUUACCUGUUUUUCCAUUCUAAGCAGUGCAUUCUUUUUUUUAUAGCAGUCUUUUGAUAACAAUAGCUAAGAGGCCAGGCACGGUGGCUCAUGCCUGUAAUUCCAGCACUUUGGGAGGCUGAGGCAGGCGGAUCACCUGAGGUUGAGAGUUCGAGACCAGCCUGGGCCAACAUGGUGAAACCCCGUCUCUACUUAAAAAAAAAAAAAAAGAAUUAGCUGGGUGUAGUGGUGCAUGCAUGUCAUCCCAGCUACUCUGGAAGCUGAGGCAUGAGAAUUGCUUGAACCCAGGAGGUGGAGGUUGCAGUGAGCCAAGAUCGCGCCACUGCACUCCAGACUGGGUGACAGACUAAGAGAGUCUGUCUCAAAAAAAAAACAAAAAACAAGCAAACAAAAACCUCCCAAGAGUUAACAUUAACUGAGCAUACAUUAAAUGGUAAGUGUCACACACUGUUCUAUGUAUGCAUAGCUCAGUUUUUAACUUAGGAAGUAAAUUCUAAUAAUAUUCCUUAUUUUUUUCUGAUGGGGUAAUUGAGGGCAGCUACUCUCAGUAACAUUGAACCCGAUAGCACAUAGUGAAGACUCAUUAUCUUUAUCAAUGAUGUGUCAGUUGGAGGUAAAAAUUAGGUCCUUUUCAAUAUCCAGUGGUGACUGUGCUCCUAGGAAGAUCAGCCAAGGAUACACAGUCCGAAAAGUUUAUAGCUUAGGUAGGUAGGAUUAAGUGCAGUGCCUCUCUAGUACACACCUGGAUGUGACUCUUGUGUCCACAUGUUUUUCAAACCUGGCAGGAACAAUAACCCCAUUCAGAAAUGACUUCUAAAAAGGCUAUUUUUGCGGGCUUGCAGGCAUGCACUUGUAGCCCUAGCUACUCAGGAGGGUGAGGAGGGAGGAUUGCUUGAUCCCAGGAAUUCUGAGCUGUAGUGAGCUAUGCCGAUUGGAUUCCUGCACUAAAUUUGGCAUCAAUAUGGUGACCUCCCGGGCACGGGGGAUCACCAGGUUGCCUGAGGAGGGGUGAACCAGCCCAGGUCGGGAAUGGAGCGGGUCAAAACUCCCAUGAUGAUCAGUAGUGAGAUCAUGCCUGUGAAUAGCCAUUACACUUCAGCCUGGGCAACAUAGCAAGAAUCAAUCUCGCUCUCUCUCUUUUUUUUUUUUUUUAAAGAGCCAACCUUAGGAAGAAAUGCCUUUUUUUUUUUCUUUUUAAAGGACAUUUCUUCUAAGGUUGGCUUGUUUUAGGGAUAGCCAAACCUACAGGUUGUUCUAAUUGAUAUACUCAUCUCACCAACACUAAUGUUACUAUUGUUUUUAUUACAUUUCAAAGAGGUCAUCAAAUCAAUAAAAGUUCAGAACUUGGCAAGAAUGGCUAGCCAGUAAAUUCUAGACUUUCUCUUUGAACCCCCAUGUCUUACAAUGCAAGAAUGUAACCUCUUAAUUGCUCUAUUUGUAUUACAUUGUCAUCUUUGGACUUUCCUGGAUACCCUUGAUCUCUCUGGUAUUUCCUGUUAUGGUGAGUCUGUCCUAACAGCCUUAUUUAUAGACAUGUUUUUGCACAUUAACCACACUCCAUGGAAGAAGCCCUUUAACAUGAGACUUGUUCCUAAGUACUCCACUGGCUUACCAAGUAUAGGAUUACCCUUUGAUUACUUUAUCUGGCUACCAGGACAGAGAGAUUCUUGGGAGCCAACCAGCCAUCAGGUCAACUAUUUUGCUACAGAUACUGCUUUCUGGGUUUAGUCCCCUGUACUUUCAGGUCUUCAGCCUCAGUUUGACUUCCUGGCUUCUUCAGUGAGGAUUUUAGAGUUAUGUCAGGUGAGGAAUCAAUCCAUCCAGUCUGAAAUGUUGCUGGGAGGAGGGCUGUCUUUCUGUAACAGGGGAAAGUUUUAUUUAUUUGAACUACAGAAUAAGUUAUAGACUAUAAUGCAUUGUACAAUUGUUUGAUUUUAAAGAAAACUCAUUAUAGCUUUACUGUUCCAAAACUGAACAUCUUAUGUCUGCAUUCCUAUUUAUUUAUGAUCUACUCUGGGCCUUGCAGAUAUUCUGUUUCCUGGGUCCUCUAGCAAGUUAAUUAUUGGUAUUAAUCAUCUAACAAAUUAGUUAUUAAUGUACAUUGUACAGAUAAGUGUGAAUUGGAGAGAAUAAUUUUAACAAGAUCAGAAUGCCUUCCAGUUCAAUUUGAAUUCGAAGGCUUAAUUCAUGGCAUUUUAUAGUUCAAAGAAAGCUUUGAAUUAUUUUGGAUAUACUAACAUAUAUUACAGGAAGAGAAGUAUGGAUAAAUUUCCCAAUAGUUGCCUAGCAGAAGUAUAUACUUAGUAUAUGACUUACCAAGAGAGUGAUCACGAGUGAUUUAGGGAGCACUUUGUAGGUUUCCCCUAUUUACCUUUAGCCUUUUACCACAUCACCAAUGACCUCUUAUUUUCAUACUGUCUAUAGAAUUAAGUUAGUCUGCCCAAGAAGUCACUUUGUUUGACCCUGGUCCCAGUGCAUUCCCAAAUAUCAGGGAUUAUAUUCCCUUACUUUUACCUGGGCAUUGGAUGCCUCAUGUUCCCUUAUAUCAAACCUUAAAGGUAGCUUUUAGGCAGAAUCUGGUAGUGCUCUUGUGUCCUGAGGGUAGGACAAUAGAAGAAAAACUCAUUUGGCAUUAGACUUUUUCAUGGUGCUUAUUUGGAAGACCUUCUUCAUCUUCAGAAUAUUGAUCCAAGUCCUUUGGGGCCACUGCUACUGUCAGAGUUGUUUUGAGUUUGGCAGUACCUCUCCAGAGCCUCAAGGUAAGGGACAUGUGGUUUGAGAAGUGGAAUACAAGUCCAUAAUCUAUACAAUACUAGAGCUUAAUAGAUGAUUACUUUAUUACCUUGAUUAUACCCAUCAAUUUUUAGGUGUGAACAUUGAGAUCUGGGGUUGGGUGUAGGGUGGCUUGUGUGGGCUUCCCCAGGCUAGAUUGAAAACUCAAACAAACUGCAUAUACCCUUCUAUUACUUUUGUUUUUGGAGUUUAAGAAGUUUUAGAGUCUUGGCUUCUCAUUUAUUAUAUAACAAAAGGGAAAUAAAAAGUAGGAGUGGGAUAGUGUAUAGCUGGUAAACAUCUCCUGUAAUACAAGUGCUGAUGUUAUUGGGAAUUUUAUUUGAAAGUUUUUGGGAAGGGGAGAUAGUUAAGGGUAGGGCCCUGAGGGUUUGGGACAGGAGGGAAGGGAAGGGAUGGAGGAUCUAUCUGUAAUCUGUUUCAAAGAAGGAAAAACUGCAUAGUGCUUUGAAGAAAUUGGGCAUCAGUCCAAGAAGAAAUGUGAUGCCAGCAGCCAUCUUCACAUCACCCCCAAGCCUGUUCCCCUAUCUUGCUGGCAAGUCAUAGCCCUACUUUUACCCCCUUUUGCUGGUUUCAUGUAUUUUGAGGGUCAGCAAUUGUCCAUGCGCUGGGUGAGUUCAAACACUGUGUGAGGGACCACUUGGGUUUAGGACACGGGAACUAUGUGGAAGGGAUGGUUUCUUGUGAUAUGGGGCUGUGGUGUCUGUGUGAUGGGGAGCAUCAGAGAAGGUGUUUGGGGCAGCAUGGAGGGAAGGGUGCAUAUCCUGUAAGAAUCAGGGGACAGGGUUUCAUAACCUAUCAUGUGCCCAGAAAGUCAGGAAUGGCUGCAGUUCUAUUACCAAGCCCUGACAAGCAGCCAUUUUGGUUAUUAGCAGUGACUUUUAAAAGUUUCUCCUUUGCAACUUUACUAUUUCACUUUCAACCUGCUCAGUAUGUUGAAAAUGAAGUUUAUGGACUAUCUUUAUAUAAAAGUCGCAACUUGUAAUGCCUCCAUUAUUAUAUGCAGGCUUUCUCUUUGCCCCUUCCUUGGCUUCUAGUGCCGUGUUGGGGUUGAUGGGCCAGCCUGCGUCCUGUGAGUGUUUUCUGAAUACUUAUUAUUGUGUUCAAUUUUUUGAUUGAUGGGAGAGGGGCAGAGGGACUAAAAUGGGGAUUGGGCUGUGUAUAUUCCUAAAGUUUUCUUGUGGUUUUCACAUGUUCCAGAUAAUCUUAGUGUUUGGUAAGUACAGGACAUUUAAGCAACAAACACAACUACAGACAUUAGAAGUCAUCUGCUUCAGCAAGACUUUAAGCACUUCCUAUAUUCCAUGUUUUACACUUGAGGGUACAGUUAAGAAAAGUUAACUUACUGAGAAGUUUCUUUGAUCCUGAAACUAUAUUCACCUGAUACAGGAAACCAGUCUUCUUCAAAGGUGAUGAGAAUGCCUUGACAAGAUGAUAGGGACCAGCACUGUACAUUUGUUCCCAAGGGAAUACUGCAACAUGCAGGCACAGCCCUUGGUCACCUAAUACAUGUAUUUGUGAAAUUCCAUGGGUUCCCUUAAGUUGGGAGCUAAAAGGGUUAGCUUUGGGUUAGCUGUGGUUUUCACUAGUUUCUGCUUGACAGGAUCAGAAGACUGCCGAGACAGAUACUGCUAUGCUGAAUUUUUCAUGUUCAUCUCAGGGACUCACUGCAUACUAUUUUUUAACUACAUGUGCUAUUCAGAGUUAGGAGAUCUUGGAUGGGACUCCAAAAUAAAUGAUUUAAGAAAUUCCAUACCUUACAUUAGGACCAGAGCUUGUAGUAAAGGAUGUUGUGAUAUGGUUUUGACCCAGAAGGAUGCUUUUGGGUAUCAUCCUCAAGAAUGUCUGCAAAAGGUUUUCAGUGAAGACAACAAAGAAUACCUGUGCUUUCACUGGGAGGAGGAAUGAGCCUGAUGGUAGUAGUGCCUUUUGCUUGUGGUACAUGUAGCCAAAAGAGCUCUGUGAUGCCAACAAACAUUGAGAAAGGUAAUCUUUGGUCACUGCCAGCUGGAUUGGCCAGUGCACCUUGUAUUCAGUACUCUAUAUUGAAGUAUCUGUCCUUUGACUGUAUGCGGUGCUUAUUGUACUUAGUUUUUAGGGCCCUGAAAGCUUUCUUUGCACUUACUGGUUCAAAUCCCAACAUCAACUACAUGUUAAAAGCAGUCAGGAAAAGAAUGAUUUGGCUUAUUUUAAGCUUUAAGCAUAACAUACUGACAGAGCUUAUGAAUAUAUAUACAAUAAAAUUUAUAUAAUAAUAUAAAUAUAUAACUAGCUUACACAUCUUAAAAUUUAGAUCCAGCACACAAAAUAACAUUUUAAAGCUAAAUACUUUGGAUUUUAUGCAUGAGGGAACUACAAACUGCACACUUUCCACAAGGGAGGGAAUAAAUACUUUUUUCUGUGUCCUUGGAGUGUGGGUGGGAUUCGUGGAUACAUUUCUCUGGUUCACUAUUUCAAUGAUAUGAAGGAGCCUCAUGUUGCAGCACAGAAGAUUUUUCAUCGUUGGAAGUUAAGGUUAGUUCACCUUCAUUGAUUCCUCCCUACACUGGACUAAAGCAUUUAAUCUAGAAACACUUAGGUCUCUAUAUAGCUUGUCAUAAUCUCUAUGCAUAGAAAGGGGCUUUCUAGAACCUGUCAGCAUAUUGUGAAAUAUCUCCUAUAUCAACUGAUAAUAAGAAAUCAGAAUUGCUUAAUUGUGGCAUUAAUAAAGUAUCACCUAGAUUGAACUAAGCAGGAAAAUUUUAGAUGAGAGUUUACCAUCACAAGCAAUAAACACACAACAGUCCCUGAAUCCUAAAAAGGUGGAGUUCUUGAUGGUAUUAGUGCGUAUCUUCAAAUUAUUUGCUCUCUGGAAAGAUGCUGAUAAAAUUUUGUCCACUACCAUAGUAUCCCUGCUGGAUGGGAACCAUAUCUUUACAAUAGACUCUCCACCCAUUGGCAAGGUGAUAGCUGUAAGGACAGUCACCUUGCAAGUGGGCAUGAAGCUGUUAAUUUUUUUUUUUUUUUUUGUCAACUGAGGUUUUUCUGCUAUGGUUCUGAACCAUUUACCUGAUAGACUGGGUUAUAUAUUCCCAGUUAACCACUACUGGGUUAAGUGACCUAAUGAUAUUAGUAGCCACUUAAUUAUUUUCAAGCAUUCUGCCUAGGACAUCGUUUCAUAAAAUUAAGGUUUAACAGACUGAAUCCCAACAUUAGUAGUAUAACUAAAUUCUCUCAGGAGCUUUUUAUGAAUGCCUUAGUAGUACUUUGGCUUCUUGAAGAGGAGCUAAUGCCAUAACCCUUUUUAAAUCAUCCAUCUGCAGCUGGGCAUGGUGGCUCACACCUGUAAUCCCAACACUUUGGGAUGCUGAGGUCGGCGGAUCACAGGGUCAGCAGUUCAAGACCAGCCUGGCCAGCAUAGUGAAACCCUGUCUUCACUAAAUACAAAAAAAAAAUUACCCGGGUGCGGUGGCGAGUGCCUGUACUCCCAGUUACUUGGGAGGCUGAGGCAGGAGAAUCACUUGAACCCGGGAGGCAGAGGUUGCAGUGAGCCGAGAUCAUGCCACUGCACUCCAGCCUGGGCGACACAGCGAGACUCUGUCUUAAAAAAUAAUAAAUUGUCCAUCUGCUCCUGUUAUACAUGUUGAUAUAUGCUGCUUUGCAGUUGCAUUGUCAACAUCCAUUCCCAGAUUAUUGCUGUCCUGAAGUAGGAUAAACAUUUUAAGUAGUGCUACUCUAUCUUCUAGCUUCACUGGUUACUUUUUAAAUUUUAUGUGGAGACAAGGUUUUCUUGCUAUGUUGCCCGGGGUGGUCUCAAACUCCUGUGCGCAAGCUAUCUUACCACCUGGGCUCCUCAAGUGCUAAGACUACAUUACAGGGGUCAGCCACGGCACCUGCCCUGGUUUUUCAAAUUGGAUUUAACAUCCAAUUAGCAGCUAAACUCAGCAAAUGGGAUAUUUUGAUCUGUGUAUAAUUGAAAUUCCAAUUUUGGCUUCUCUGGACAAAAUGGGAAACAAUGGAAAUCUUUCAUAUGUAUUUGCAUGGCCUUGUCUUUUGGAAAUAACAGGUACAGUGCUGUCUUCUAAUGUUGAGACAGUAAAAUUUUAGUAAGAUUUUUCAGCUGAGGAAAAUACAGGAUCUUAAGGACUUCUUGGAGAUAGUAUUCAUGCUUUCUCAUAUACACAGUGAUAGGUGAAUUGUGUUUAGGGUUUUGUUUUGGGUUGGUUUUGGUGCAAUGUCUAAUUACAUUUGCCAACUCAUGUUACCUAGUAGGGAUAUUUCCAUUCUGUGCCAAUUGAUAUUUGGUACAGUGAAUGUACUCAAUAAAAUUAAAGGUUUGGUACUUGUUUUUGAGAUGGUGAACAACUAACGUGCAAAUCUGUAGUCCCUAAUGUAGCCUUUUGCUAUCUGACAUCUGUUUGACAUAUGCUUUGUCAAAUUGAUUCAACUCAAACUUGAAUACUUAUGUUUUGCCAAAUUUGUGUGAUCACAUUGUGUUACUAAUGUGUAACAUCAGCCUGUAACUUCAGCCACCUACUUUUUAUUUGUGGAUGCUGCUUAGAAACUUGCAAAUAACACUAUGAAUAUGUGGAGUUCCUUGACUGUCCACUCUGUUGUCCCUUUAGAGAGUACAUUACAUGCACAUUUCUUGUGUAUUUUCUAGUUCAAUUAGAAUUCCUCCGUUCUUUCCAGCCAAUUAUAAAGGUUUUAAAGGAACUAUUCAAUGCAAUGUAUUUCCAUAAGUUUAGUACCUAUGUACUUUUUCUUGGGAGUGGGGAGUUGGCGAGGGGAGUCAUGAAUUUUUGGCAAUGUUAAGUAGUAUCUUAUUGCCCAUAUUUUUCGCAUGUCUAAAUGCCAAAUUUUGUGAUGUAUUUUGCACAAAUAACUCAUUACUCUGAAUCUUAAGUAGUGCUUUAUUUGCCCUCACAAUGUUGCCCUUUAUAAAUUGAUAAAUUUAUGAAAAAAGAAAAUUCCUCUUAAUAUAACACUUCAGCAACAUUGGAAAUCAAUUAUUCAAUAAUAAAGACAUUUGAUGAAGCAACCAACAUUUUUGCUUUAAGUGUAGAGGUAUAUAUGCUUUGAUCCUUUAGCCUGAAUGUUUCAUAACCAAAUUUGAUUUCUUAACCAUUGUCAUUUGCAAGUAAUUUUAGAACUCCCUCCCCUGUAAUGGUAGCAUGUAUUUAUCUAGCACAUUUGUAAUCUUAAAAUUUUUAAUUUGGUGCUUCUUCAGGGACUUGGUAAUGAAUCAACUGGAAGUUUUGUACUAAAUUUGUCUACACAGCAGCGCUCUUUAGCUGGUGGCAUAGAGUCCAAAGUUAAGAAUCUGUAUCUGCUCCUAAUUAAUAGAAAUAUCAUUCUUGUCCUACAGACAAAAAUAGUUUUUAUAAGGACUUUUGACAAAGUAUAUACAGUAUAGGUGAAUUUAGUCAAAAAUAUUUGCCAGAUUCUCUUGGUUCUCAUAUGGCCAUUUGUUCAAUCCCAGUAGCUCCAGGAUAAUAGUGUUCAGUUUUCAUAGGUUGUAAUAUAUUGGGCCUUUCCAGAUUUGUUGUGGAAUUCUGGACAGUUGAUGUCUAAUCACAAGUUCUGUGGUACAUAAUUUGUACCAUGCAGUGUUGCAUUUUGCUGAUAUAGAUGGUUGGAGGUUCAUGUGAGUUUAGGAAAUCAGUUCCAUUAGCACUACAGUUUAAUGGCUCAGUGCUAUUUGCCCAGAAAUAUAUUGAAAUUGGUAGAGACCUUCAAAGUUUUAAAAUGUAAUUUUUUAUUGUACACUGGUACUGUAAUUCUUUGGUUCCCUGUUGUCUCAUUACAGUUAUGCCCUUUUAAAGUCCUCUAAAAUUAAGGGCCCUGUAGAAGUGAUGGUCAACUCUAUUUUCCAUAUGAAUUAUUAGAUUUGGUGCUGUCUUGUGAAGUAACUUGAUACGAUAGAUGUGUAGUAUGAAUUUUGUCCACAUGGUUGUGCCCUUGGCAGAACUGCACGUACCUGAAAUGGUUCCCUAAUUUUUUUCUAGUAUUACUAUCCAACACUUCCUCUCAUAAUCACUAGUGUAUUGUAUAAUUGUUAAGUGUCCUUUAUUCAUAUAUUUAAAUUAAAAGAGUACUCUGGUAGGAUUUUGAGGGCCAAUAGUGUAUUUCCACUGUUUGAGGUAUUAGGAGGGCUAUUUACUGAUACCUGUAGUGCCUUCCCAUUCUGUUUAUCAUGCACCUCUAAAUUUUGUGACUUCCUGUUGCACUAAGCAAUGAUAAUGGAAAUUCACUAGUAAUUGAUUAUUUAUAGUUUGUGAUAGUGGCAUUGGUAAUAUUGCCCUUCAGAGAUUAUUACUCCAGUAGCUAUCUAGUUUGCUGUUCUAUUAGUAAACCAACAUUAAUGUAGCUUUCUUGAGGGCAUUGUGAUUUUUAGCUAUUGUGGUAGGUUCUGAUAUGUAGUUUUGCUUGUAUGAUUUCCUUGUUUAUAGCUCAGUUUUUGUUACAUGGUAUGUGAAGUAGUAGGCUUGACAUUAGCUGUAUACAACACAUAAACUAGAUUUUUCAUCCUUGAACCUUGAAACUCCAAGGAGCUGUCCAGAUUUGCGUACUCUAUUGGAAUAAAAAGACUAGAAAGAAGCAUUGUUAUGGAAACCUUGCAGUACUCAGUUCACCCAAAAGACCUUUUAGAAAUGUUAGUUCACCAUUCCCAUCAGAAAUUUGAUUAUAGGAAGAUCAUAACAAUAUAAUCUGAUCUCCUUACUAUAGAGGCAAAAAAUAUAUUCAGUUAAAAGCUGUUUACAUAUAAUGUCAUUUUAUUUCCACACGAAGGUGACAUCUUAAAAUCGGUCAGUGUAAUUAUAUUAAAGUGGCUAAUUUCCUGUACAGUAAUUUCCUCCACCACUUAUCUAUGGGCGAUAGGUUCUAAUUCUCCUGGUGGAUCCCUUAGACUGGAUAGUACCGAACCCUAUAUGUUUUUAUCUACACAUACAUACUUGUGGCAAAGUUUGAGGUGUGACAGCAAAACUAGCACGAAUUUCUUUUUCCUGCACAAUUUCUCAAACUCCUGAGUUCAAAUGGUCCUCCCACCUUGGCCUCCCAAAGUGCACUUAGAAAAUUUGUUACUGCAACCUCAGUAUACAAUUUUUUUUUCCUUAUUCUGUUGAAAAUGUUCGCCUUUUUACUAAAGGAAGCAUUUUGUGGCUUCUCUUUGGCACGUCUGUAUUGAUGGCAUCACAGCUCUUAUAUUGGGGUCAUUGUUAAGCACUGUGUUACUGCAGCAGUCAAUCUGAACUGAGAAGGGUGCUAAGUGACUAAUGGAUGGUAGCAUAUAAUGUGGGGUAUACACUGGAAAAAGGGGUGAUUCUUUUUGCUGGACAGUUUGAGAUUUCAUUACAUUACUCUCAACGGCAGACAAUUUGGAAUUUAUGAAUUGUUUAUUCUUGGAAUUUUCCAUAUAAUGUUUUUGAACCACGUUUGACCCCAGGUAAUAGAAACUUUGUAAAGGAAAACCAUAGAUAAGGGGAGAAUACUGUAACGUUAGGCUUCUUUCCCCCCAUUUCUGUUUUAUUUUGUUUCCCUUAUUGUCAGAAAGUAUGUUCAGUAUGGCCUCCUUGUGUACACAAAGUAAUUUUUGGUGGAAAAGAAAGUACUACCAUUAGUCCACAGCAUGUCCUUCUGAAAUUAUGUUGGAUGCUUGUUAUCAUGGAUUUGGUUCUCAUAGGGAUAUUAAUACAGUACCCUAGUCAGUGUGUUAGUGAGCCAAAAAUAUGUUUGAAAAUGUUCAUGGAUGUUUGCGUCUUUUUUUUUUUUUUUUUUGGCUUGUUACAAGUUCUGGUUUAUAGGUUUUGACAUCCUUUGCAUUGUUGGAAGUGUGCCCAGUGUUGCUACCUAAUUUGUGGAAAUUCUGUAGUACCACCUUAGUCCACAGUGCGUCCUUCUGAAUAGUUGCAUAGCUUGCAUAACUAAUUUGGUGUGAAAUUCUAGAGUGAAAACUAAUAUGGUAACCUAAUCACUGUGCUAUGUUGAGGAUUUCCAAGGGUGCAUGAUGUAUUUUACGCAUUUUUCUAAUUACAAUUCCUGGCUUAUAGACUGCAUAGGUAUUUAAUAUUGUCUAGUAAAGUGUGUUGAUGUACAAUUUCUUGUUUAAUUCAGUACUAUUAUUAGCUACAUGGUUCUGCUUUAUCGUUGCCAUUAAACUAAAUAUAUACUGAUUAUUUUCAUCAGGCACCAGCGUUAAUGUGUUUCUCCUAAGUGAGUUGACCUCAUGGGAAUUCAUCACAUCUGUGGACUAUAUUUUAGUGUUAAAGGCUUAAUGUACUACUGUUUCAAAACUUACAAGUAUUGGUAUUUCACAUGCUUUUAAAAGUACUGUUGUACUUUUUUUUUUUUUUUAAGACAAGGUCUCUCUGUCACCCAGACUGGAACAUGGUGGAGCAAUCAUAGCUGAUGGCAGCUUUGAACUCCUGGGCUCAAGCCAUCCUCCCGCCUCAGCCUCCUGAGUAGCUGGGACUACAGGUGUGCACUACCAGCCCAACUAUUUUAUUUUAUCUUAUUAUUUUAUCUGAGACAGCAUCUCGGUAUGUGACCCAGGGUGGUAUCAAAGUCAUGGGCUCAAGUGGUCCUCCCACCUUGGCCUCCCAAAGUGCUGGAAUUACCACACCUGGCCUACAUGUUGUAGUUUUGUUGCAGUAAGUUCAGUUGACUUUUGUUAAAUGUACCCCAGUAAGCACAUGCCCUGUGGUAAGUCCUGUUGUGUAAUAAAAAACAUGGUAUGUAUCAAUGUGCUUUUCCUAUAGUUGUCCUCUGUCUUCCCAGGUUUUUUUUUUUUUUUUAAACAGUCAUCUAGGGUCCAUAAAUAUGAUGCAGUAAUGAGUGAUGGUUUAGUUUUGCUGGUGUUCUCUAGCAGCCCCUAUUAUAUACUUCACAGUAUUUUCAUUCUCAUCUCACUUCUGGUUUCAAAAAUAAUUUUUUUUCAUGGCAAAAUUUGUUUAGGUAGUGUGCUUUAGUGUUGUCACCUGGUGGUUCAGCACGUUAUAGUGCUUUACACGUGUAACUUCAUUGUUUACCUUUAAUUCAACGUUGCUAUUUAGAAAGGGUGCAUUCCAAUAGUAUUAACCACUUAACCCAUUGCCACUCCAAUUGGCUGUCUGGAAUUUUUUCUGUUGGUAAAAUGUUAGUUAUUAAGAGUUGCUAACCAUAGGUUGAAUGGUUCCUGAGGUACUUUAACUUGCCAUAUUAUGAAAGCACAGCCCAUGAUUUGUCAUACUGCAAAGAUUGACUUAACUACUUUAACAAGAAACGUAUUCCAGAAUUUUAUCGUGGUGUGCAGUCAUUGCUUCUAUCUUGCUGUCCUUUAUUAAAUAGUAUUAAUUUACACCAUAGUCACCAAGAAGACUAUAUUUUGGUAGGCUUUGGGGUUUAUCUGCCUGCAAGAAAAUUUAUUUUCCACUGCUUUAUACUGGUAAUUAGAUAUUAUUGUACUUUCAAAUCUUUCACUGAAAAAUAUCUAGUUAGGUCAGCAUGCCCUAUGUAUUGUAGAUGCGGUUCUGCUAUGGUUUUUCACCACCGGUGGUUGAAUGUAGGGUGGUACCUUUAUCUAGUUUUGAGUUUCUUUAGUGACUCAUUUUUGCAGUCUUACAUCUGCUACUCCUCUAUUAGAUUAUUAUUUAGCCCAAAAGUAUUAUGGGAUCAUUUGACUUCAUGGCGUCACUGGAAAACUUAAAUGUUCUGUUGGAUGAAAGUGUUUCACUUAUAGUACUAAUCGCCAUGUGGUAUUCCUUUACUUUCCCUAACAUUUGCUUGUUUGUUUUUAUUGUGUAUCUACAUGUAUUGAGUAGUUAGGUGCUUGUACAAAUCUUCUACCUUCACUCAUGGUCAAUCAACUGUAAACCUUACCUGGGGCCAACUUGCCAAAGGUUUUACAGUUAACAAAUGGUAUUUGAAAUUUGUAGUAAGAGUAAAUGCUUUGGAGUAGGAAUGCCUAUCUCAGCAAUCCUGCUAAGCACUAUACUCUGGAUAAGGUAAUUACCUUCUUUUGUAGAAAAGAACUCGUGAUAUAAUUCAUAUAAUAUAAAGUUCACCAUUUUAAAGUUUAGUGACUUUUAGUAUAUUCAUAGAGUUGUGCGACCAUUGCCACUAUUAUAGUUUACAACACUUUCAUCACCACCUCAUUAGCACUUAUUCCCUAUUUCCCUUUUGCCAACCCUGACAACUACUAAUUUAGCUUUUUGUCCCUAUGGAUUUGUCUAUUCUGGGCAGUCAUAUAAAUCAUGCAAUUUCUUACCCUUGUUACUGGCUUCUUUUAACUACCAUGUUUUUUUGAGAUUCAUCUAGAUUAUGGUAUAUAUUACUGUUCUUUAUUGAUGAAUAAUAUUUCACUGUAUGGAUAUAUUUCAUUUUGUUUAUCCAUCAUUUGACGGAUGUUUGCAUUUACAGAUGUUGUCUUUUGUCAGUAAUGGUGCUAAAAACAUUCAUGUACAACAUUUUAUGUGGGCAUGUUUUCAUUUUUCUUGAGUAUACAUUAAGGAGUAUAAUUGCUUUGUCAUGGCAUGUCUAGGUUUAAUGUUGUGGGUAAUUAACAAAUUUUAAUAAGGUGCCUGCACCAUUUUACAUUUUCAUCUGCAAUAUGAGGAAUUACAUUUAUUCAUAUUCUCACUUGUUAUUUUCUGCCUUUUAAAAUUAUGGCCACCUAGUGGAUAUGAAAUAUCUUAUUGUGCUGUUGACUUGUAUUUCUGCAUUGAGCAACUUUUCAUGUGCUUAGUGGUAAUUUGUGUAUCUUUGGAGAAAUGUCUGUUCUAAUCCUUUGCUCAUUAGAAUUGGGUUAUAUGUGGUUUUGUUGUUAUCAGAGUUCUUUAUAUAAUCUGGAUAACAGACUCUUAUUGGAUACAUGAUUUACAAUUAUUUUCUUCCAUUCUUUGUAUUGCCUUUCCACCUUUUUGAUGACAUUGUUUAUAGCACAGAAGUUUUUAAUAUUGAUGAAAUCUAAUUUAUCUAUUUUUUUUUGUUAGUUGUGAUUUUAGUGUCAUAACAAAGAAACCAUUACCUGACCUAAGUUGUAGCUCUUACAUUUAGGUGUGUGAUUCAUUUGGAAUUUACUUUUGUAUAUAGUUUAAGGAAGAAGUCCAACUUAGUCCCUUUGCAUAUGGAUAUCCAGUUUUCUCAGCACCAUUUGUUGAAAAGACUACUUCAUCAUUGAAUUGUCUUGGUACCCUUGUUGAACAUCAGUUGAUUCUAAAUAUAAGAGUUUAUUUUGGACUCUCAAUUUUAUUUUAUUUAUCUCUAUAUCUAUCCUUAUGCCUGUACUACACAGUAUUGAUUAUUGUAGCUUUGGAGUAAAUUUCAAAAUCUGGAAGUAUGAGUUCUCCAGCUUUGUUCUUUGCUUUGGCCUUGAUUAUUCUGAAGGCUUUGAAUUUCCAUAUGAAUUUUAGGAUCAGCUUGUAAAUUUCUAGAAAAUGCCAGAAUUUUGCUAAGGAAAGCAUUUAAUCUGUAGAUCAAUUUGUGGAGUAUUGCCAUGUUAGAAAUAUUAAUAUUCCCAAUCCAUUAACAAUAGAUACCUUUCUAUUCAUUUUAUUUUUCAUAAUAUUGAAAAUGGAAUUAUUUUCCUAACUUUAAUUUUGGAUUGUUCAUUGCUAGUGUAUUAAAAUACAAUUAGUUUUCUGUUGAUCUUGUAUCCUCCAAUGUUUCUGAACUUAUUGGAAAAGCUUUUCUAAUAGUUUCACUAUUAGCAUUUUUUUGUGGAUUCCUCUGGGUUUUUAUGUUUAUGUCACCUAUAAAUAUAGAUAGUUGUACUCUCUUUCCAAUUGCAUUGAUUUUUUUUAUUUCUUUUUCUUGCCUAAUCACCAUGGCGAAAACCGGCACAGAAGUAGCAAGAGCAGUCAUCCUUGACUUGUUUCUGACUAGGGGUAAUACAAUUAGAUUUUGACUAUUAAAUGAUGUUAGCUGUAUGGUUUUUUUUUUCUUUUUCUUGCCUAGGUUCACAGAGCUAGCUAUACAGUAUUUGUAGAUACCCUUUGUCAAAUGUAGAUAGAUCCCUUUGUUCCUAGUUUGUUGAGGAUUUUAAAAUUAUAAAUGAAUUUUGUCAAAUGGCUUUUUUAUGUCUGUUGACACAAUCAUGAGGUUUUAUCUUUGUUCUAUAAAUACCAUGCAUAUGUAAAUAUCAUGUAUUGAAUUAAUUGGGGAAGUGUUUCCUCCUGUAAUAUUUUUUGAAAAGUUAUGUAAAUAACUGAUGUUUAUUAUUUAAACGUUUGCAGAAUCAUCAGUGAAGUCAUCUGUUCAUGAAUGUUUCUUUAUGGGAAUUUUGUAGAUUAACCAUUCAAUCUGUUUUUUUUUUUUUGAGACGGAGUUUCACUCUUGUUACCCAAGCUGGAGUGCAAUGGCGCGAUCUCGGCUCACUGCAACCUCCGCUUCCCGGGUCCAAGCUAUUCUCCUGCUUCUGCCUCCCGAGUAGCUGGGAUUACAGGCAUGCGCCAUCACUCCCGGCUAAUUUUGUAUUUUUUAGCAGAGACAGGGGUUUCCCCAUGUUGGUCAGGCUGGUCUCGACCUCCUGACCUCAGGUAAUCUGCCCGCCUCAGCCUCCCAAAGUGCUGGGAUUACAGGCUCGAGGCACCGUGCUCGGCCUUCAAUUCUGUUUUUGUAAGUAUUCAGGUUUUUUUUCUUGUGUCAGAUUUGGUUGUUUGUGUCUUCCUAAAAACAAACAUUUUGUAUAAGGUAUCUAAUUGGCAUACUGCUUUUGAUGGUAUUCCUUUCUAAUUCUUUUAUUUUCCUAUAACAUUGGUGAUAAUGUCUUUUUUAUUCUGAUUUUAUAUGUGUUUUCUCUGUUUUUCAUCUUUGGUCUAGCUACAGAUUUGUUCAUUUUUAAAAUUAUUUCGAGAACCACAUUUGCUUUCCUUAAUUUUCUGUUUCUCUGUUUUUUAAAUUUAUUUUUACUCUAUUUUUUAAAUUAUUUUCUUUGUCCUAAUCAAUUUUUUUUUUUUUUUUUUUGAGACCAAGUCUCACGCUGUCACCCAGGCUGGAGUGCAGUGGCGUGAUCUUGGCUCACUGCGACCGCUGCCUCCUGGGUUCAAGCAAUUCUCCUGCCUCAGCCUACUGAGUAGCUGGGACUACAGGCACAUGCUGCCAUGCCUGACUAAUGUUUUGUAUUUUAGUAGAGACGGGGUUUCGCUGUGUUGCCCAGGCUGGUCUUGAACUCCUGAGCUCAGUCAGUUCACCUGCCUCAGCUUCCCAAAGUGCUAGGAUUACAGGUGUCAGCCACUGUGCCUGGCCCCUAAUCAAUUUUAGUUUGAUCUUUUCCUAAUAUCUCAAAUUGGAAAGUUAGCUUAUUUAUUUGAGAUCUUCAUUUCUAAUGUAGAUGGUCACAGUUUUACUUUUCCCUAUAAGCACUGUUUUUGCUGCAUUCCAUAAAUUUUAUGUUUUGUUACAUUUUCACUCAUCUCAAAGUAUUUUCUAAUCAUUUUUGGGAUUUCAUUUUUAAUCCAUUGGUUGUUUAGGAGUUUGUUGUUUAAUUUACACAUAUUUGUUUGUUUAUUUUGAGACAGAGUACCACUCUGUUGCCCAGGCUGGAGUGCAGUGGUACAAUCAUGGCUCAUUGCAGCCUUGACCUCCUGGGCUCAAGUGAUCCUCCUGCCUCAGCCUCCUGAGUAGCUGGGACUACAGGCAUGUGCCACCACACUUAGAAUUUUUUUUUUUUUUUUUUUUUUGGUUGAGAUGGGGUCUCGCCAUGUUUCCCACACUGAUCUUGAACUCCUGGGCUCCAGGAAUUCUCCUACUUUGGCCUCCCAAAGUGUUGGGAAUAUUGGCAUGAACCACAGCACCUGACUUGCAUAUUUGUGAAUUCCCCAAAUUGCUUUUUUUAAAUUGAUUUCUAAUUUCAUUUCAUUGUUAUGGGGAACAUACUUUGUAUGGUUUCAAUGUUUUAAAAUUAAUUGAGACUUGUUUUAUGACUUAGCAUAUGGUCUGUGUUGAAGAAGGCUCCAUGUACACUUGAGAAUAAUAUGUAUACUGUGGUUGUUGGGUGGAUUUUCUAUGUAUGUUUAGGUGAUAUGGUUUUAUAGUGUUGUUUAAGUCUUCUAUUUUCUUCUUUUUCUGCCCAGUUUUAUUUUUGAAAGCAUACUGAGGUCUCCAACUCAGUGCCUUAGCCUCCUGAGCAGUUGGGACUACAGGCAUACGCCACUACACCCAGCAAUUUUUUUGUAUUUUUCUGUAGAGACAGAAUUUCACCAUGUUGCCUAAGCUGGUCUCAAAUUCCUGGACUCAAGUGAUCUCGAUUCCCGGCCUCUGCCUCCCAAGGUGCUGGGAUUGCAGGCAUGAGCUACUAUGCCUGGCAAAUUUUAUUUUUCCUUUUAUUUUGUCACAUAAUUAAAGCUACUCCAGAAUUCCCUUGAUUUCUGCUUGCCUGGUAUAUCUUUUUUCCAUUUUUUAACUGUCAGCCUUUUUUGUGCCUGUUAAUCUAAAGUAUGUGUUUCGUAGAUAAUAUGUAGCUGGAUCAUAUUUUAAAAAUAUUUAUUCUGCCAAGCUCUGUCUUUUGAUUGGAGUAUUCUUUCAUUUAUGUUUGUAAUUACUGAUGAGGGGGGCACUAAUGUCUGCUGUUUUGCUAUUUGUUUCCCCAUGUCUUAUGUCUUCAUUACUGACUUUUUUAUUAAACAACUAUUUUCUUGGGUACCAUUUUAAGUCCCUCUCCCACUCAUUUUUUAAUGUUUUUUUGUGUUUACUUUUGUUUUUAUUGUUUGCCCUGAUAUUAAAAUUAACAUUUUACCUUGAAAUAGUUGGCUUCAGAUUAAUAUCAACUUAGUUUCAAUAGCAUAGGAAAUUUGCUUCACUAUAUUUCCAUUUUCUCCCCGUCCUUUGUGCUAUUAUUACUAUACCAAUUAGAUCUCUACACAAUAUAGGCAUAUCAACACAUUUUGUAAUUAUUUCCUUAUCCAGUUGUCUUUUAAUAUAGAUCUGUGAAGAAAAGUAUUACACAAAUAGAUCUAUUCUGUUUUUUAUAAUUAUUUAAUUACCUUUGGUGGUGCUGUUUAUUUUUCAUGCAUUUGAGUUACUGUCUAGUAUUCAUUCAUUUCUCUCUGAAUCACUCCCUUUAGUAUUGCUUGUAGGGCAGGUCUGCUAGCAUUGAAUUCUUUUAAUUUUUGUGACUCUUCAAAUGCCAUAAUUUCUCUUUUGUUUGUGAAGGAUAGUUUUGCUAGAUACAGAAUUUGCAGUUGGCAUUCUUUUUACUUUAGCAGUUUGAAAAUAUUUCCCAUUGUUGGCCGGGCACAGUGGCUCACACCUGUAAUCCUAGCACUUUGGGAGGCCGAGGCAGGCGGAUCAUCUGAGGUCAGGAGUUCAAGACCAGCCUGGCCAAUAUGGUGAAACCCUGUUUCUACUAAAAUAUAAAAAUUAGCUGGGCAUGAUGGCAGGUGCCUCUAAUCCCAGCUACUCAGGAGGCUGAGAUGGGAGAAUCGCUUGAACCCGGGAGAUGAUGGCUGUGGUGAGCCGAGAUAGCGCCGCUGCACUCCAGCCUGGGCGGCUGAGUGAGACUCCAUCCCCGAAAAAAAAAAAAGAAAAGAAAAGAAAAAGAAAAAAGAAAAAAAAUUAUUUCCCAUUGUUUUCUGGUCUCUGAUUUAUGAUAAGAAGUCAGCUGAUUAUCUUAUUGAAGAUCAGUUAAAUGUGAUGUUUUUUAUUUUGUUUUUUCUCUUGCUGAUUUCAAAAUUUCUUUCUGACAUCUGGCUUUGAUGAUGUUACUACUAUGUGUAAAUUUGAAUGUCUUUGAGUUUAUUUUUAAGACAGGGUUUGGCUCUGUUGCCCAGGCUGGAGUGCAGUGGCACAAUCGCAGCUCACUGCGUCCUCCACCUCCCAGGCUCAAGCAAUCCUCCCACAUCAGCCUUCCGAGUAGCUGGGACUAUAGGUGUAUGCCACCACGCCCAGCUAAUUUUUGUUCUUUUUUUUUUUGGUAUAGACAGGGUUUUGCCAUGUUGCCCAGGCUGGUCUUGAACUCUUGGGCUCAAGUAAUCUGCUCACCUCAGCCUGCCAGUUUAUCCUUUCUGGCAUUUGUUGGUCUUGCACAUAUUGAUUAAUAUUUUUGAUCAGAUUUGGGAUUUGGGAGCCAUUAUUCAUUCACAUAUUUUUUCUGCCCCUUUUCUCUCCUCUCAUUAUGUUUGUUAUAUUUACUAAGAGUAAUUCUUUUUCAUUAUUUUAUAAUAAGAGAACUUAUGAUAGCAUUGGCUGAAUUUCCUAAGUAAUGUUCUUGUUUUGUUGUUUGCUAAAUAUGCUUGAUUAUAACUUAUAUUUAUUCUUUUACUCAAUAGUUAUUUAGUGUGAUGCUUCAUGUUGAGGAUUUCUGGCUUUCUUUUUCCUCAAAAAAAUCAUGUUUUUAUUUCAUUGUAAUGAGACAAUGUGGGUGCUGUCAUUUCCUACAUGCUUAGUUUUUAAUAACAACCUUAUGUUGCAGGACACAUCCCUCAUUCUUCUUUUUUCCAAAAUUUUAUCUCAUUAUCAUGUAGUUAUUUUAUGUGAACUAUAGAAACAGCUUGUCGAGUGUUCACAAAUAUCACUGGAAUUUAAAUUGGAAUGGCCCUGAAUUUGUAGAUUAAUUUUGGGAGAGCUGUCAUUUUUACAAUCUUCCCAUACAUUAAUGUAAUAUUUUUCUCCUUUUAUUCGGGUCUUCGGUAUCUGCGUAUGUAUAUUCUACUUAUUACUUUUAAUCUCCCCCAUUUUCUGGAAAAAAAAGAUGUCUUUGGAAGUGCAAUUCUGGUGGGAAAAGUGUAGAUGUCAUCUGCAUAGACUAGAGCCAAUCAGUAGGGAAUGUCAUUCAAAAUGUGUUUUGUGUUUGAUCUUACCAUUUCUUUCAAAUGUUCCUAGCAGCCUGCAUUAUUUAUAAUGUUCUGUAUUCCUGGUUUAGGUAAGUCCAGAGGUGAGAGCUGGUAUUAGGAAAAUGACAUAGUAAGGCAUUUGUUUUCAGUAAUGGCAGCAUCCGUUUGACCUCCUUUCCCAUUUGGAAGGGCUUUCUCCAUCCUGAAAGCUCCUGUAGACUUGGUGCUCUUUUUUUUUUUAGGAUUCAUACCAGUUGAAGACUUUCAAAGCCUUCAGUGUAACUGGUUAUGUUCUUACUAGAAAAGUAUUUAGGGCCAGGCGCAGUGGCUCAUGCCUGCAAUCCCAGCACCUUGGGAGGCCGAGGCAAGUGGAUCACUUGAGGUCAGGAGUUCGAGAUCAGCCUGGCUAACAUGGUGAAACACUGUCUCUACGAAAAGUACAAAAAUUAGCCAGUCGGGGUGGUGCGGGCCUGUAGUCCCAGCUACUCAGGAGGCUGAGGCAGGAGAAUCGCUUGAACCUGGGAGGUGGAGGUUGCAGUGAGCCGAGAUUACACCACUGCACUCCAGCCUGGGAGACAGAGAGAGACUCUGUCAAAAAAAAAAAAAAAGAAAGGAAGGAAGGUAGGUAGGUAGGUGGGUAUUUGGGGCCAGCUGGCCUGUAAUCCCAGCACUUGGAGGCUGAGGUGGGUGAAUCACUUGAGGUCAGGAGUUUGAGACCAGCCUGGCCAACAUGGUGAAACCCUGUCACUACUAAAAAUACAAAAAUUAGCUGGGCGUGGUAGUGCCACUUGUAAUCCCAACUACUGGGGAGGCUGGAACCUCGGAGGCGGAGAUUGCAGUGGGCUAAGAUCGUGCCACUCCAGCCUGAGUGAGACUCCAUUUCACAAAAAAAAAAAAAAAAAAAGAAAGGGAAAAAAAGAAAAGAAAAGAAAAAAGUAUUUGGAACCAAAGAAGAUAAGAAUUCUGUUCCAUUUGGUAGUUUAUUUUAAUUCUAAGAGCAACUCUUUGAGAGGAAGCUGGAGGAGAACAUCCAUGAUACGGAGAGGGAUCUGAAUGUAGAUGUUAUGAGAAGCAUCAUAGGAAGUAGAGCUGUUUAUAUUGUAGGAGAACUCCAAAAAGAAGAAUUUGUCUUUGCUUUGUUGUCUUCUGUCUGUUUUCAGAUCUCUUAUUGGGUCAGGGACAGUUGUCUUUUGCUGCUUUUGAAGGCAGUUCUAAUUAAUAGAGAAGCAGUUUUAAGGACUCUCCAAAGAUGAUUCUUGGAAGUGACACCUAGAGGCUUGUAUGAACACUGGGAAUUGAACUUCAGAAUCUCCUUGGGUGGAAUGAGUUGGAUUACAUGCACUCGAAGGUCACUUUUAUUCCUGAGAUUCUGUGAAGGUCUCGAUUGGCAAAUGAGUGUGCUACUUUACAUGUUCCCAUUUAAUCAUCACACCAACCCUCUGAGGCAUGUUAGAGAGGUAGAGUAGGUUUUCUAAGGUAAUGUCUAAUUAAUGGCAGAGCACACUCCCCCACACAUAUAGCUUAAUUCUCCUACAUUUGUAUAGCCCUUCCUUCUUUCCUUCGUUCCUUCGUUCCUUCCUUCCUUCCUUCCUUCCUUCCUUCCUUCCUUCCUUCCUUCCUUCCUUCCUUCCUUCCUUCCUUCCUUCCUUUCUGCAUCUGGCUGUGUUGGCCAGGUUGGUCUUGAACUCCUGGGCUCAAGCAGUCAUUCCACCUAAGCCUCCUAAAGUCCUGGGAUUGUAGGGGUGAGCCACCGAGCCCAACCUUUUUAUUUUUAUUUUUAGUUAAUUGAUUUAGUUUUGUACUUUAUUGUUUCUAGAAGCUUUUUACAAACAUGGUUUUAUUUGACCCUUAUAACAGUUUGGUUAGGAAUAAGAACAGAUUCACCAAUGUGUCUAAUUUAUAGGUGGAAAACAGGCUCAGAAGCUCUUUAGAAUAUCAUGAGAAGAAGGGAUGUGGGGAAUUAUUCAAUACAACUUCUGUAUUUUGCACUUCAAGAAACUGAGUACCAGAGUUAAAAAUCUGGACAUUUGGUGGAUGUUCUUAGAUUUGUGUUAAUGCAAGAGGGUUGGAUUAGAUGAUCUCACAGGGUAUGGGAAUGGAUGGUGUGUUCCCUGUAUCUACUGUGUAGUGUAAAGUUAAUUGAUACUAGCUCAACAUAUUAGAUUAAGUGGCAUUUUAGCAAACAUGAAUGAAAGGCACCAAAGGUUUAAGGGGGAAUUUAAAACAUUAGGUAGCAGCUUGUAGAGGAUAUAUUUAGGGUCAUGAUGUCCUUCUUGUUGGCCUUAAAAACACUUCCUGCGCCAGGUUCAAGGGUCAAUUGGGAACAGGAUCAACAGAGGAUGAGGGUUUUUUUUUGUUUGUUUUUGUAUCAUUUUAAGACAAGGUCUCACUCUGUUGCUCAGGCUGGAGUGCGGUGGUACAAUCCCAGCUCACUGCAGCCUCCGCCUCCCUGAGCUCAGAUGAUCCUUCCACCUCUGCCUCCUGGGUAGCUGGGACUGCAGGCACAUGUCACCAUGCCUGGCUAAUUUUUGUAUUUUUCGUAGAGAUGGGGUUUUGCCAUGUUGUCCAGGCUGGUCUUAAACUCCUGGGCUCAAGUGAUCUGCCCACCUCAGCCACCGAAAGUGCUGGGAUUAUAGGUGUCAACCGCCACACCCAACCAAAUGAGUUAUAAGUUUGUGAUCUGUUUUUAGCCUUUGUCCACAACUGUGGGAGUCACCAUUCACUCUGUGACAUAGGCUCUCAGAAUGAUGGCUCUCUUGACUGUGGCACUGAUCAUAGAUUUAGAAGCUCCAGUAUGGGAGGACCUUAAAAGUCUCCUAUCCCAAAUAGAUUAUUUUAAACUAACCCCAGUUCAAGUCCCUGGAUAACAUACCCAACAAAUGGUCUUUUAACUUCUGAGUAAGUUUACUUGGUAACUGGGGACUCCUCCUUGAGUUAGCUUGUCCCUUCUUUUGAGACCUCUUUACAACAUUGAGCCCCAAAAUGUUUUUCUAUAGCUUCAAUUCAUUCAGCAUAUUUGUAUUGUACCACUACUCAAGAACAUUGCUUUAUUCUCACUCCUGCAUAUUCAGCAUCUCUCCUCUCUGCUGUCAUUUGAGCUGCCAGGCACUGUGCUGGGUAGUGGGGAUAUGGAGAUGAAUUAGACACCAUCCCCGUCCUCAAGGAGUUCUCAGUCUAGUGAGAGAGAUCAACAUCUAUGUACACAUAUAAUUACAACAAUAUGGUAUGCUCUACAAUGGAGGUAUGUAUAAGAUACUCUGGAGUUCAAAGAGAAAUCAUUUUACAGAGUCUGGAGAUGACAGAGCUCAGAGUACCUGGUAUAUGAGUUGAGUCUUUAAAGAAGUAAAGUCACCUUUUGACUAGGUGAAAAACAGGGAAAGGCUUUCCAAGCAAAAGCAUGGACAUUGGAAGUAGUAUGAUGAGUUUGGGGAACUACAAAUAGUUCUCUAAAUUAGGUUGGAAAUGUAGGCCAGGAAUAGAACUUUAUAUGGUAUGCCAUGGGAUUUGGAUUUCAUUAUAAGUGUUUUCAGAAAGGGAUGCUUUUAGAUGAUCACUGGCAGUAGUGUGGGGUGUGUUCAGGAAUGUUUUCAAAUCUGGACAGGGAGAUGAGUUAGAAGGAUACUGUGGUGGCUAAGAUGAGAAAUGAUGUAGGGCUGAAAGGAGUGGGAGUGGCGAAGAGGGGAUAACCUCUUAGGAAGUUAUAAAAAUUUAGUCAUGCAUUGCUUAGCAAUGGGGAUAUGUUCUGAGAAGUGUAUUGUUAGGCGAUUUUGUCAUGUGAACUUCAUAGAGUAUAUUAACACAAACCUCUCUAAAUGGUAUAGCCUAUUACACACCUAGGCUACAAACCUGUACAGCAUAUGACUGUACUGAAUACUGUAGGCAAUUAUAACAGAAUGGUAAGUAUUUGUGUACCUAAACAUAUAUAAACAUAGAAAAGCUACAGUAAAAAUAUGAUAUGAUUUUGUGGUGGGACAACUGUGGGACAACUGUCAUAUAUGAGGUUCAUCAUUGUCCUAAACAUUGUUAGGCAGCACAUGACUGUAUAGACAUAAUAGAACUUAUAGGAAAAGUUAUAGAAAAACUUAUAGAAAAAGACCUUGAUGAAAAAUACUGUCAUAUUCUUUGGAUGAAUGUUGCAAUUAACUCCUUUUAGAUCAUAACUUGACUGUACAGAUUGUGCAAGAUUGUUUUCUGGGAACAGCUGUAUAUGAAAUGUUGAUUCUCAGGGAGACACCUAGACACCUGAAUUGCAGCAGACAUUUUAUGGUGUUGCUAAGUUGCUGGUCCUUCUCAUCAGUAGCAGGCCUACUCUCACUGUCACAUAUCUCCCACGGUUUUUUUUUUUUUUUUUUUUUUUUUUUUUGUAAUUAACCAAAAGUGAAGGCUUUUAUAUCAAAGACUCAAUUGAGGAAGCAGUGGCCUUAGUCAUUAUUGGCAUAAUUGCUUUAGUUUGCUUAUGGAUCUUAAAACGUUUAUGACUAUAUCUGCAAGUAAAAAAAAAAUUCAAUAAUUAAAAACCUAAACAUAUCGAGUGUUUAUUUUCUCUUUUUGCAAAGGUAUAUUCUAAACUCAAUGUUCUUCGGGAAAUUUUCCAAUUAAGGCUCUGAGUAUUGAUAUUUGGGAUUUAGAGAAUGGCUUUCUAUGACCAGAAUGGUUAGUGAUGAGAUUUUAUGUAAGUAGGACUGGGUUUUUCAGGGGGCCUUGUGUAACUUGCCAUCAAGAGUUGGGAAAGGAGGCCCUGAGCAGUGCAGCAGAGCUAUGUAAAGUGAGAGUUUGGGUCUUGGGACCAGGUAGCCUGGGCUCAAAUCUGCUCUCACACUUAGCAAUGUGGUCUUGAGCAUGAUUCUUCACUUCCCCAGGACUCUGUUUUCUCUUAUGUAAAAUAGGAAUAAUAUUUAUUUUCAAUGAUGGGGGUAAAAAGUACUUAAAGGGACUAAUUAUGUAAAUUGCUUAGAACAGGCCUGGAAUAUACAGCUAAAUGCUGUGUCAACUGUUGUUGCUGAUAAUGGUGUUGACUAUGACAAGUAUUAAAAGAAGAGAUUUGACUAGAGGUACUUAUAUUUUGAAUGAUCAGUGACGAUGUUAGGGUUGAGAAAGAAAAACAGUAACUGACUUGAAGGUUUUCAAUGGUAUGUAAGUGUGAGGUCAUUUCACCUUUUAUUUCUCUGCCAGGUAGAGUGGGAAACCAAAUUAAUCACUCCAUGAUCUAGUGACUAAUCUAUUGCCUUUGCUUUUAGUUCCAAAUAGAAAGCUGUUGAAAAGUUGUUGUAUUACACCUGCAUAAAGGUUAUCCUGAAAACAGAAAAAUGCAUUAGACUUUGUCAAAACUGGAUUUGAAACCUAAUUCAACUGCUUGCUGGCUGUGUGACUUAAACUUGUUGAACUUCAGUUUCUUCCUCUAAUAUAACUAUUAAUUUUCAGAGUUUCCAUGAAGAUAUUUGUAAAGUGUUUGUCAUAGGCACUCUAUACAUUAAUUACAGCUAUUAUUGUUAGAUCUUGGGACACCCAGCACGUGACAAAAACAACAGCAGACCCUGGUGCCUGGGAGGACUUCAUGGAUCCAGCAGCAACCUGGAGUGGUGCUCCUCUGAAGAAAUCCUACUCGGAUGGAUAUAAUACAACCUGCUAAGUGUCCUAGCACUUAGCAGGUUGUAUUAUCAUUGUCCGUGUCUAUGGCUCUCGUCUACCAGACUUUAAAUUCCUUAAGGGCAAGGACAGUGCCUUACUCAUCUUUGUAUUCACAGUGCCUAAUCCGGUGCACAUUGUAGGCCUCAUUAAAUGUUUGUUGAAUGAAAAAAUGAAUCAUCAACAGACAUUAAUUGGGCGCCUGCUCUGUGAUCUCCAUGGGCUCAGCUUGUCCCCGCCAGUUGCCAACAACGUCCAAGCUCUCUUCAGAAUGCUUACUCCUGAAGCUUAUUCCUGUCUUCUAAUUCUUUUGUUGAGGACUUUUCUGUGUAGUGCAAUGAUAGCAAAUACACUUCAUCUCAAGUACCAUCUCCAAUUGAUUGAUAAUGCCUGCCCUGAUUAUGUUUUAUAACAAGAUUCUGAAACCAGGUCUUAUCUCAGUGUGAAAGACAUUUAUAACUAUUUAGUGAUGUCUGCUGAGGGUCGGAGAAGGGGGAGUAGCAGCACAAGUGCCUCAUAUGUCAUAUUUGCUACUCUGUUUUCUAUGAAAUACUUCAUUUCUAUGCCUGCAUUUUGGUCUUAGCUACUUGCUGAUGUUGCAUGGCUGUUGCUGCUACUGUAAUUGCUGCUAAUUGCUCCCUGGGUUGGACCAGAGUGCUCAUUGUCUGAACAGAAACCUCAUCCUCACAGUCUGAGGUUUGCUCCUGUGGCUGAUAUUUAAAGUUUUCCCCUUUCAACUUUACUCCAGCUAUCCCCUUACCUGCACUGACAGGUAAUCCUCCACCGUCCUGUUCACCUCUCACCAGGUUCAUAUUUUCUUUAUCUUAUUUAUUGUACUUAAUCAUUAUUUUGUGAGAAGCUUUUCUGAUUGUAGAUGUGACAACCAGAAUACAAGUUAAAACCACUUAUCCAGCGCCUUACAGUGAAUCAUUUAACAUGAGAAAAAAAUUGAGUGUGUUUGCAGACCAUGGGGCAGAAGGAAUUGAGAAGGGAGUCAUUGUAGAUGUGAGAAAGAGAGAGAUGAUAAUAGAUGGAAGAUGAUCUUGAAAGAUGAUGCAGGUGAAGCUGGAAGGGUGAAAUUUAUGGCUCUAGAACACAUGCAGGUGGAGGGUUAGCCUUAGGUAAGUGGAACUACCUCUUUGCUGGAGCACAGAGAUAGGGAUAGGAGUAAGGAAGAGGACUUGGCAAGGGUGGUGAAGAUUUGUAAUUGUAGAGGUGGAUGAUGGGGAGGAAGCUGACCAGGAACAGGAAUAUGAAGACAAAAGCUGCUGGAACAGAAAUACUAGAGGGCUAAAUAUGAACCAGAGUCCCUAAGGAAUAUUCAGGCCAAAACGCUGGAGUGAGACCAUUAACAGGAGAGCUUAUGGUAUAUCAAAGUAAGAAAUGAGUUUGAAACUGGGUUAGAAGCUCAGGAAAAUAUGAAGUGGUUUUGGGGCAUUGUCACUAGCAGUAUUUGGUUGCCUUGAUUGAUUGAGGGGUGGACAGCUAGCAAGAGACGAGUUACACAGAAAUGGAUUUAAGAAUCCAA